CUACGUGCCAGCAGCCGCGGUAAUACGGAAGGUCCAGGCGUUAUCCGGAUUUAUUGGGUUUAAAGGGAGCGUAGGCGGAUUGUUAAGUCAGCGGUUAAAGGGUGUGGCUCAACCACACAUUGCCGUUGAAACUGGCGAUCUUGAGUGCAGACAGGGAUGCCGGAAUUCGCGGUGUAGCGGUGAAAUGCUUAGAUAUCACGAAGAACUCCGAUCGCGAAGGCAGGUGUCCGGGCUGCAACUGACGCUGAGGCUCGAAAGUGUGGGUAUCAAACAGGAUUAGAUACCCUGGUAGUCCACACAGUAAACGAUGUAUACUCGCGGUUUGCGAUAGACAGUAAGCCGCCAAGCGAAAGCAUUAAGUAUACCACCUGGGGAGUACGCCGGCAACGGUGAAACUCAAAGGAAUUGACGGGGGCCCGCACAAGCGGAGGAACAUGUGGUUUAAUUCGAUGAUACGCGAGGAACCUUACCCGGGCUUGAACUAACGGUGACGAAUCUAGAGAUAG
rnacentral:rRNA from 1 species